rnacentral:rRNA from 1 species
AAUGAACGCUGGCGGCGUGCCUAAUACAUGCAAGUCGAACGAACAAACCAAGAUCGUGCUCCUCAGACGUGACCAACGGACGAGUGAUGCUCACGAGUCUGCCCUUCCUAGGGGAAUGGCAUAACUUCACUAACCCUGAUCCCAUACCCGAUCUUCUGUUGAACCGCGUGGUUCAGCUCUGCACUACUGAUUAGCCGUCACCUAAUUAUCGAUCCGCGGCGCAUUAGGUCUACCGUAGCGACAAUGUUUACCUGGUCUGAGAUGAUGAUCCGACCCGCUGGGGCGAUCACCCACACCGGACCCGAAACGCAGGCCACACUCCUACAGGAUGCACCAUGAGGGAAUCCUCCAUCCUGCCCUACCGCUUGACUGAACAACGCCUCUUGAUUGAUGAACGCCUUCAGAUCGGAGGACUCUGUUGUGAUGGAAAACCAUAUGCCCUGAUAUCUCUGCCCGUCUUGACAGCACCUAAUUCUAUGCCCACGGCUAACUACAUGCCAACGGCCCCGGCAAUACUCAGGUGGCCUGCGUUAUCCGGACUUAUUGGGCGUUAUGCGCGCGUAGUGGUUUUCUCCGUCUGAUGUGAAAGCCCCCGGCUCAACUUGGGAUGGUGCAUUGGAUACUGGAUAACUUGAGUGCGUAAGAGGAGAGUGGAAUUCCAUGUGUAGCGGUGAAAUGCGCAGAGAUCUGGAGGAACUACCGAUGGCGAAGGCGACUUUCUGGUCUGUUACUGACGCUGAUGUGCGAAAGCGUGGGGAUCAAACAGGAUUAGAUACCCUGGUAGUCCACGCCGUAAACGAUGACUGCCAAUUGUUGGGGGGUUUCCGCCCAUUAGUGGCUGCAUCUAACGCCAUUAGCUAUCCCCCGGGGGAGUCCGACCCCAGGGUUAAACCUCAAUGGAAAUGGCGGGGACCCGCCCCAAGCGGGGAAGCUGGGGGUUUAAUUUGGAGCCACCCCAAAAAACCUUCCAAAUUCUGGACUUCCGCUGAUCCCGCUAAAAAGAGAGGUAUCCCCUUCGGGAGUCCGCAUGCCGGUUGGGCCAGGCUGUUGUUCACUUGGGUUCGGGGAAGGUGGGGUAAAUUCCGCCACGAAGCCCACCCUUUACGUUAAUUUCCCAUCACUAAGUCGGGCACUCUAAGUAGACUGCCGGUGACAAACCGGAGGAAGGCGGGGAUGACGUCAAGUCAUCAUGCCCCUUAUGAUCAGGGCUACACACGUGCUACAAUGGUCAGUACAAAGGGCAGCGACACCGCGAGGUCAAGCUAAUCCCAUAAAGCCGUUCUCAGUUCGGAUUGUAGUCUGCAACUCGACUCCAUGAAGUUGGAAUCGCUAGUAAUCGCAGAUCAGCAUGCUGCGGUGAAUACGUUCCCGGGCCU